GAUGAACGUUGGCGGCGUGCCUAAUACAUGCAAGUCGAGCGAACAGAUAAGGAGCUUGCUCCUUUGACGUUAGCGGCGGACGGGUGAGUAACACGUGGGUAACCUACCUAUAAGACUGGGAUAACUUCGGGAAACCGGAGCUAAUACCGGAUAAUAUUUCGAACCGCAUGGUUCGAUAGUGAAAGAUGGUUUUGCUAUCACUUAUAGGUGGACCCGCGCCGUAUUAGCUAGUUGGUAAGGUAACGGCUUACCAAGGCAACGAUACGUAGCCGACCUGAGAGGGUGAUCGGCCACACUGGAACUGAGACACGGUCCAGACUCCUACGGGAGGCAGCAGUAGGGAAUCUUCCGCAAUGGGCGAAAGCCUGACGGAGCAACGCCGCGUGAGUGAUGAAGGUCUUCGGAUCGUAAAACUCUGUUAUUAGGGAAGAACAUACGUGUAAGUAACUAUGCACGUCUUGACGGUACCUAAUCAGAAAGCCACGGCUAACUACGUGCCAGCAGCCGCGGUAAUACGUAGGUGGCAAGCGUUAUCCGGAAUUAUUGGGCGUAAAGCGCGCGUAGGCGGUUUUUUAAGUCUGAUGUGAAAGCCCACGGCUCAACCGUGGAGGGUCAUUGGAAACUGGAAAACUUGAGUGCAGAAGAGGAAAGUGGAAUUCCAUGUGUAGCGGUGAAAUGCGCAGAGAUAUGGAGGAACACCAGUGGCGAAGGCGACUUUCUGGUCUGUAACUGACGCUGAUGUGCGAAAGCGUGGGGAUCAAACAGGAUUAGAUACCCUGGUAGUCCACGCCGUAAACGAUGAGUGCUAAGUGUUAGGGGGUUUCCGCCCCUUAGUGCUGCAGCUAACGCAUUAAGCACUCCGCCUGGGGAGUACGACCGCAAGGUUGAAACUCAAAGGAAUAGACGGGGACCCGCACAAGCGGUGGAGCAUGUGGUUUAAUUCGAAGCAACGCGAAGAACCUUACCAAAUCUUGACAUCCUUUGACCGCUCUAGAGAUAGAGUUUUCCCCUUCGGGGGACAGAGUGACAGGUGGUGCAUGGUUGUCGUCAGCUCGUGUCGUGAGAUGUUGGGUUAAGUCCCGCAACGAGCGCAACCCUUAAACUUAGUUGCCAGCAUUGAGUUGGGCACUCUAAGUUGACUGCCGGUGACAAACCGGAGGAAGGUGGGGAUGACGUCAAAUCAUCAUGCCCCUUAUGAUCUGGGCUACACACGUGCUACAAUGGACAAUACAAAGGGCAGCGAAACCGCGAGGUCAAGCAAAUCCCAUAAAGUUGUUCUCAGUUCGGAUUGUAGUCUGCAACUCGACUACAUGAAGCUGGAAUCGCUAGUAAUCGUAGAUCAGCAUGCUACGGUGAAUACGUUCCCGGGUCU
rnacentral:rRNA from 1 species